AAAACCAGACAAACCGGAAGUUGCUGCUCUGCUACUAAAGAUGGUAGCCAGUUAAGAAUUGAGCUAAUGAAUAGCUUUCAAGCAAGCUAUUCAUCUCAAUAUAAAACAUACAGCGCCGUAGAAAAGGACCAUUAGUCGAAACUGACGAGAUAUAGCCUACCUGCCUUUCCACGUGGAAGAAAACGGAGGACAGAGACGUGCUAACUACGGAGUUGGCUUUUCUACAAGGAAUCUGCAGGACAACAUGAGUGGAGAGAAGGAAGCAUUGCUGGAUGAAAUCGAACAGAGUUUACACUGUCUAACCAAGGACAAUUUAUGAUACCUGUGUGAACGCUGUGGAAUCGAUGGCUCCCAAGUUAAAGGAAAGAACCAUCGCGUAUUGCAACGUAAAAUCUUGGAGGAAAUGUGGGUAAAUGCAAAUUCGGUCAAAUCGGAGGAGCAUGUAAUGUCUUGGUUACUCCAACUGAAAGAUGACACCAGGAGGAUACAGGAAGAAUCUACUGUGGCACCCAUGAGUCCCAGCCAGUCUGAUGAUGCUACAGACUGCGAUGAAGAAUGGGACAUGGAAAAUAAGGAUCGGUGUCUUAGCAACGGGCUGGAGGCGGAGUCAGCUCCAGAGAACCACACCCAAGAGCAGAGGCAGAGGGGUGACAUGUCUCUCCCAGCCGCCUCCCCUCUCCCCGAGUCCCCAGGUCCUGCCUCUCCCGCUGGCACAUUACUACUGGGUUUGAAGAGGGUGUCUGUGCGGCUGGUUGACUGCAGGAAAA